rnacentral:misc_RNA from 1 species
CGCAGCCGCGGUAAUUCCAGCUCCAAUAGCGUAUAUUAAAGUUGUUGCAGUUAAAAAGCUCGUAGUUGAAUUUCGGGAUCAAUUAGUCGGUCGUGCCUCUGGUACGUACUGGUUUUAUUGGUUCCUCCCUUCUGACGAAACAUGAUGUCAUUAAUUUGGUGUCGUGGAGAAUCAGGACUGUUACCUUGAAAAAUUAGAGUGUUUAUAGCAGGCUAACGCUUGAAUACAUUAGCAUGGAAUAAUGAAAUAGGACGUUCGACCCUAUUUGUUGGUUUCUAGGAUCGACGUAAUGAUUAAUAGGGAUAGUUGGGGGCAUUAGUAUUCAAUUGUCAGAGGUGAAAUUCUUGGAUUUAUUGAAGACUAACUACUGCGAAAGCAUUUGCCAAGGAUGUUUUCAUUAAUCAAGAACGAAAGUUAGGGGAUCGAAGACGAUCAGAUACCGUCGUAGUCUUAACCAUAAACUAUGCCGACUAGGGAUCGGAUGAUUUAAGUUUUAAUUAGACUCAUUACGUCGCCUACG